UUUAAGUAACAAGUGGUAGAUAAUUAUUACAAUUUUCUUGUAAAAGAUUGUAUUAUCGCGCGUGAUAGUAAAUUGCUAAAGUGGGGUCGACCCAUUCGAUCCUCUAUUUUUAUCUACCAGUGAACACUAACUGUGUAAAAGUGAUGAGUUUGUUGCAUUUUUCCAUCGGGUCAAUAUCUUAUCGAUUUUUUAUAUUAUAUUCCAGUAAGCAAAAUGAUAGCAGUCUGUCGGUAGAUUGGCAAUCCAUAUUUAAGCUCAUGUUCUGCCAACAGAGUCUGCUAACAGAUUCAGAUAGCAGAUUGGUGGCAGAAAUCGAGCAGAUCCUGCUAAAAAAUCUGAGAGCAGAUUGAAGACAGAAACCGAGCGAAUUAAAUGGUACCGCAGAAUCUUCCGGUGGUAACCUGCUAUCCACUAAUAUACGCCUAGUGUCCACUUUCGGCAAGUUUGGUUUAUGGAGUAGACCCGCGCUGAAUGACCUUGAGCCUCAGGCACCGCAAUUCAGUUUAGAUGUUUUCCGGGCGGCAAAGGAAACAACGUCACGCAAAUUGCGUCCACAUGCGCAGGUGCCUAACCCGACUGUCCAGAGAAACUAACGCAACUCUUGGGAUGACGAAGAGCAAGAAAAAACAGAGACAAUGCUCAAGAAUGAUUAUUACAGGUACGCCGAUAGGAUGACGUUGAUGUCCACCAACAGCGAUGGAUCAACAACGGAGAAUGAUGGUUGACAACGGAGGACGACACAAGAACAUUUUACACAUAUCAUAUUUACAUCGAAAGCAUAAACAUUAUAGUAAGAAGCGAAAAAUAAGUCAUAUCCUAGUUUUGUUGUUACAAGUCGAAAUUGUGCCACCAAAUUUAACUUAUUAAUCAGUCACUGUAUAUAUCAUUACAUUAAAUAUAAAAUUUUGUAUUAAGUUUUUGCAAACAGUAAAAAAAUUAAUACAAUA